UACAGAGGUCUCAAGCGUUGUUCGGAUUCAUUGGGCGUAAAGGGUGCGUAGGUGGCGCUGUAAGUCGGGUGUGAAAUUUCGGAGCUUAACUCCGAAACUGCAUUCGAUACUGCGGUGCUUGAGGACUGGAGAGGAGACUGGAAUUCCCGGUGUAGCGGUGAAAUGCGCAGAUAUCGGGAGGAACACCGGUGGCGAAGGCGGUUCUCUGGGCCGGUACUGACGCUGAGGAGCGAAAGCGUGGGGAUCAAACAGG
rnacentral:rRNA from 1 species